GAUGAGCCCGCGGCGGAUUAGCUUGUUGGUGGGGUAACGGCCUACCAAGGCAACGAUCCGUAGCUGGUCUGAGAGGACGAUCAGCCACACUGGGACUGAGACACGGCCCAGACUCCUACGGGAGGCAGCAGUGGGGAAUCUUGCGCAAUGGGCGAAAGCCUGACGCAGCGACGCCGCGUGCGGGAAGAAGGCCUUCGGGUUGUAAACCGCUUUCAGGAGGGACGAAGCCACUCGGGUUAAUAGCCCAGAGGGUGACGGUACCUCCAGAAGAAGCCCCGGCUAACUACGUGCCAGCAGCCGCGGUAAUACGUAGGGGGCAAGCGUUGUCCGGAUUUAUUGGGCGUAAAGAGCGUGUAGGCGGCCAUGCAGGUCCGUUGUGAAAACUCGAGGCUUAACCUCGAGACGCCGGUGGAAACCGUGUGGCUAGAGUCCGGAAGAGGAGAGUGGAAUUCCUGGUGUAGCGGUGAAAUGCGCAGAUAUCAGGAAGAACACCCGUGGCGAAGGCGGCUCUCUGGGACGGUACUGACGCUGAGACGCGAAAGCGUGGGGAGCGAACAGGAUUAGAUACCCUGGUAGUCCACGCCGUAAACGAUGGGUGCUAGGUGU
rnacentral:rRNA from 1 species